rnacentral:rRNA from 1 species
GACGAACGCUGGCGGCGUGCUUAACACAUGCAAGUCGAACGGAAAGGCCCUGCUUUUGUGGGGUGCUCGAGUGGCGAACGGGUGAGUAACACGUGAGUAACCUGCCCUUGCCUUUGGGAUAACUUCAGGAAACUGGGGCUAAUACCGGAUAGGAGCUCCUGCUGCAUGGUGGGGGUUGGAAAGUUUCGGCGGUUGGGGAUGGACUCGCGGCUUAUCAGCUUGUUGGUGGGGUAGUGGCUUACCAAGGCUUUGACGGGUAGCCGGCCUGAGAGGGUGACCGGCCACAUUGGGACUGAGAUACGGCCCAGACUCCUACGGGAGGCAGCAGUGGGGAAUAUUGCACAAUGGGCGGAAGCCUGAUGCAGCAACGCCGCGUGCGGGAUGACGGCUUUCGGGUUGUAAACCGCUUUCGCCUGUGACGAAGCGUGAGUGACGGUAAUGGGUAAAGAAGCACCGGCUAACUACGUG